ensembl:lncRNA
CUCCUUGUCUCUUUUUCGCUUAAAAUAAAAUUGAAUGGGCUUCAUUUUUAGCGAUGUUUGCCUGUUAACUUAUAGCCCAUAUCGAUACGUUUUUCCAGUGUUGUUCACCUUUCUCUCACUCUGACUGGACUGCGUCAUCACUGAAAACUCUACUGUGGUUGGUGCAUGCUGCUUGUGGAAUAUGCGACUUGUAGUUUUUAAACAAUUUGCAGCGGGGGAAAAAUAGAUUAGGGCCCUCGUCUCAUAGACUGCUGCUCACGCUGAGGCUUUCUGAAACCGACACAACCAACAGGAGGGACAGACACACGGACAGCACACGAGGACGUCUCCACGGCAAGAAGAGGUUUUCCUGCCUGACCAACCUCGUUAGAUAAGACACACACGCCUUUUUUCAGG